CUGCGGAAGGAUCAUUAUUGAAUAAACUUUGCAACAGGUUGUUGGCUCGGCUCUCCGUUGUUAGGGCAAUGUGCACGCUUAGUCAUCUUUAUCUCUCCAACUGUGCACGUAUUGGUAGACACAAAUUGAUUCACUCGAGUUGGGACUGCUGUGCUCUUCAGAGUCGUGCUUUCCCUUUAGGUCUAUAUAUCACACCAAACACUUUAUAAUGUUGAAUGAAAUAAGAUUCUUAAAGAAAGUUGUAUACAACUUAUCAGCAACGGAUCUCUUGGCUCUCGCAUCGAUGAAGAACGCAGCGAAAUGCGAUAAGUAAUGUGAAUCUAGCAGAAUUCAGUGAAUCAUCGAAUCUUUGAACGCAUCUUGCGCUCCUUGGUAUUCCAAGGAGCAUGCCUGUUUGAGUGUCAUUUCAAGUUCUCAACCGCGCUUGCGGCUUGGAAUGUGGAUAUUCGCAGGUACUUUUAUGUUCUCGCGUCCUCUAAAAUGAAUUAGUGGUGGUCUAAUCCUACUASUACAGGUGUGAUAUAAACUAUSUAUGCCUCUWGUAUCCAUGAUACCGCUYCUGAMAUGAUGGARUGAGAGUUGGUGAAUUCGACCUCMAAUCAGGUAGGACUACCCGCUGUAACUAMAGCAUAUCAAUAAGUCGGAGUGAAGCAGAAUUCAGUGAAUCAUCGAAUCUUUGAACGCAUCUUGCGCUCCUUGGUAUUCCAAGGAGCAUGCCUGUUUGAGUGUCAUUUCAAGUUCUCAACCGCGCUUGCGGCUUGGAAUGUGGAUAUUCGCAGGUACUUUUAUGUUCUCGCGUCCUCUAAAAUGAAUUAGUGGUGGUCUAAUCCUACUASUACAGGUGUGAUAUAAACUAUSUAUGCCUCUWGUAUCCAUGAUACCGCUYCUGAMAUGAUGGARUGAGAGUUGGUGAAUUCGACCUCMAAUCAGGUAGGACUACCCGCUGUAACUAMAGCAUAUCAAUAAGUCGGAGUGA
rnacentral:misc_RNA from 1 species